GUGGCGAACGGGUGAGUAACGCGUGGGUAACCUGCCUCAUGGAAAGGAAUAGCCUCGGGAAACUGGGAGUAAAGCCUUAUAUUAUUGAGUUGUCGCAUGGCAAUUCGAUGAAAACUCCGGUGCCAUGAGAUGGACCCGCGUCCCAUUAGCUAGUUGGUGAGAUAACAGCCCACCAAGGCAACGAUGGGUAGCCGGUCUGAGAGGGCGAACGGUCACACUGGAACUGAGACACGGUCCAGACUCCUACGGGAGGCAGCAGUGGGGAAUAUUGCGCAAUGGGGGAAACCCUGACGCAGCAAUACCGCGUGAGUGAAGAAGGUUUUCGGAUCGUAAAACUCUUUUAUUGGGGAAGAAGAAGUGACAGUACCCAAUGAAGAAGUCCCGGCUAACUACGUGCCAGCAGCCGCGGUAAUACGUAGGGGACAAGCGUUGUCCGGAAUCAUUGGGCGUAAAGGGCGCGUAGGCGGUUUUAUAAGUCAGAUGUGAAAGGUACCG
rnacentral:rRNA from 1 species